ACUCUAUCCUCUGGCUUUACUACAAACAUCACCCCAAAGCCGUUCAGUGAGCUGGCAACAGGUCCCCUCUGGUCUUUCAUGGCUUUCCAACCUGCUCCAGGACUUUGCACAAGGCAGAACACCAGGGCAAAAGGGCAUGAUGGAGAAGAGCUGCUUACAUCACGGCAUCUAGGAAGCAGAGAAGAGGGCACAGCAGCAGGGGAUGAGAUGCAGCUUUCCAGGAACCCCCUGUGACCCACUUUCUCUACCUCAGUCUCACUUUCUGCUUUCCACCACAUUUCAACAAGGACAUAUUAAGAAUCAA